UGGUGGAGUGAUUUGUCUGGUUAAUUCCGUUAACGAACGAGACCUCGACCUGCUAAAUAGUUCGGCGAAGGAUUCGUUCUUCGUUCGUGACUUCUUAGAGGGACUAUCGGUGUGUAGCCGACGGAAGUUCGAGGCAAUAACA
rnacentral:rRNA from 1 species